rnacentral:lncRNA from 1 species
GUGCAAAAUACAUGCUGCCUUUUUGUCCAUCUUGGCGUCUUGGCUGAAGUGCGCCCCCAGUCCCUGAGCUUGGGCCGGUGGGACCAGAACUCCCGCAGUGGAGACGUCCUCAGGCUCCCUGGAGUCUCCUCUGAGGGGGGAGGAGGCCGAGCAGCUGGGGGACAGGAGACGACCCCCUUAUCCCUGUCCUGGGCAUCGUCCUAAGGAUCGGGCCACAGUUGUUGCUCUUCACAGAUGGUUGGCGCACGGACGGGGCGUGUCUGCAGGAGCUCGGUGAAAGCGAACCGUGGCCACUCGCUGCUCCGUGGCAUGGUGGCAGCUCUGAAGGCCCGCAGAGGACCGUACCUCUCACGUGCACCGGCUGCCGUCACAGGCCUGCAGCCCCAGCAGCCCGGCCCCACGCCAGGGACGAAUCUGGCAGGUGCGCAGAGGCAUCCAGGAGCCUUCACCGUCGCCAUCCAGAAUGGAGCCUGUUUCCUCUAACCUUGAGGCUGCCAAGGAGAAGGCCUAGGAGGGCGGGGGUUCCCGUGUCUUUGGAUUUCACAGACCCAUAAAUUUUUUUAAGAACGGGAAGGAAACUUAUUUUGCCAACCAAGGACAUCGAAGAAAAAAGAAGCCUUAAAAAUGACCAUUUCCUAGCACCAUCAUUUCAUAUAAGAAAGGGCAUCUUAGAACACACACACGUACACAUGCACACACACGCUCGGACACCAAGGAGGAAGGAACCUGGUCUCAGAGCAAACAAUAGCCCUUUGCGCUAAGUAGAAUUUAGGUUUUUGUGUGAAAACUCCCACCACUGUCCUUACUUUUCUCAUCUUGUUGGCGACACGUUAAGACUUCCCUGGAGCCUGUUCUUGGAUUAAAGCUUGGAAAGCGCGAGCUGGAGUUGCCACAUUCGUCACUAGGUUAAGUGUAGUCAGGUUUGCAAACAGCUGCUUCUCGCUCAAUUUACUGACGUCAAUGUUUAACAUGCGGGCGUGGACUGCCUGGUUCUCGCUGGGCCCUGGGCCGGCGCGGGAUACACCUGGCUCCCCGACCUCGAGGGAGUGCGCACUUAAGUGACGGAUAUGGAAAUGUCACCUCCUUAGGGAGGCCCUCCCAGACCCCCCCACGCAGAGUGGCAGCUGAGCCCCUCACCCCUCACCACUCCCAGUCAUUCUCUAACACGUCACCUUUGUUGUUUUUCAUCAGAGCUCUUGCCUUCGUGGACAUUUCUUUGUUUAUGUCUUUGUGUCUUCCUUUGUGGCCCAUCCCUGCUCUCUAGAAUGUAAGCCCCAGGAGUGCACGAAUCUUUCCUGCCUGAUUCACCGCUGGAGCUCCC